rnacentral:lncRNA from 1 species
GUAAUAGCUACCAUUUGAGUAAGGUAGAAGUGAGCGCUCGAGGCAGGGAGUGUGACGUUUGGAAGCAGGUGGCUGUGCAGUUGGUGACCUCCGUUUUUCCCACGGGGUUGGUCUGCCACCGGCUGUGUUCUCAUCCCCAUCCUGGGCGUCUGCCUGUCGGCGUAUGUCACAUUGGCUUGUUCUCAUGGCGCAUAGUGCCCUGCCGCCUGGAUGCACCACAGUCCUUCAGCCAGCCCCCACUGUGUGCCCUCUGUGGGUGUUAACUCCAGGUACUUGGGCUGCAGGGUAGAGGAGGCAGCCAGGCCUGAGGCUGUGCCCAUCUGUGGCCUUAGGAGUCACAGCAGCCGCUUCUGAGAGGCCAACAGGUAUCAGGGCACCCAGAGCCACCACUGUGUCCAGAACGGCAUUUCCACUUCACUGGCCAGGUCUAAAGUCCUGAGGGGCCUUUGCUCCAGGGACCCAGGGUACCUCCCUCAGCAGGGCAGGAACUAGGCCAGGAAUACCAUGGGGCACUGAAGGAGGAGCCUCCCUCUAUCCCUGUAACCCUCCAUCCCUGUACCUCUCCAUCCCUCCAUCCCUGCACCCCUCCGUCCCUGUGCCCCUCUAUCUCUCCAUCCCUGCACCCCUCCAUCCCUGUACCCCAUCCCUGUACCCCUCCGUCCCCCAUCCCUGCACCCCUCCAUCCCUGUACCCCUCCAUCCUUCCAUCCCUGCACCCUCCAUCCCUGUACCCCUCCAUCCCUCCAUCCCUGUACCCCUCCAUCCUUCCAUCCCUGCACCCUCCAUCCCUGUACCCUUCCAUCCCUCCAUCCCUGCAUCCCUCUGUCCCUGCACCCCUCCAUCCCUCCAUCCCUGCACCCCUCCUUCGUUGUACCCCUCCAUCCUCCAUCUCUGCAUCCCUGCACCCCUCCAUCCUCCAUCCCUGUACCCUUACAUUCUCCAUCCCUGCAUUCCUCCAUCGCAGCAUCCCUGCAUGCCUCCGUUCUCUGCAUCCCUCCACCCCAGUAUCCCUGCACCUCUUCAUCCCUCCAUUCCUGCAUCCCUCUAUUUUUCCAUCCCUCCAUUCCUGUAUCCCUGUGCCCUCCAUCCUCCAUCCCAGCAUCCCUCCAUCCCUGCUCCCCACUCUCACUUCCCUUCCCUUCACAGACAGGCUUUUCCUGCCAUCCUCAGACCCCACCCAGGGUUACCUGAUGCCUUUCCAGCUGCACACGGGGACUGACUCACCUCUCUCUUUCUCAGUCCCAAAGUCCCGAAAGAGAGCAUCUGAUGUGGUCAGCUUGUGACAAGGCGUCCACCUUCUGUCCAUGACAUGGAGGCCAGGGGAAGAAGGAGAUCCGGUUGGCAGCUAAACCGCGCUGGGAACAGGGGCCUGAGUCCUGGACUAGGGCUCUUUCCCCGGGGCUGCUGCAGAUGGGGAGGAGCCUACACCCGCCUCCCGAGUGCUAAUCAGACCUGACAGGCUGGAGAAUGGCCAGUCAGCCUGAGGCCACCGCGGGACACCACCUAGGCCCAGCUUCUCCCC